rnacentral:lncRNA from 1 species
AAACAAUACUAUUUAUUUUGUUUUUCUACUCUUUUUUUUUAGAAAAAAGAUGUUACUCAUAGUCAUUCUAAAUUGUAAGUCAUUCUAGCAGCUUUUACUCAGCAACUAGAUACCUAUUAUAAACUAAUAGAGCACUUAUUCGCUGCUCUUAGAAAGUCUGCCUUUCGAAAUAGUCAUUUACAAUGUGAUAAUCUUUGGACACCUACCUAUGUUA